AUGGGGUUGUAUAUAUUGCCAGAGGGCAUUCAUAGCUCUUUCGAUAAGGAGCUCGCUAGGUUCUUCUGGCAGGCAGCUAAUGGACGCCAAAAGUAUCACAUGGUCAAGUGGGCGGACAUAUGUAUGCCCAAGCACCGUGGUGGCCUCGGCAUUAUGGCUUCCCACCGCAUGAACGUCAUGCUAAUGCUGCGCUGGGUUUGGCGGAUACUACGUGGUGAGGGCGGCCUAUGGUUACAGCUCAUUCAGGAAAAAUACUUUAGGGGUGAGCCUCUCAAGGUGUGCUCCCGCUUGGGAGGGUCACAGUUCUGGAGAUCCAUCCAAAGGAUCAAGGAGGACAUCCAUCUAGGGAUUCCAUCUCCACAAGAAAUGGGGAUGGAACCCAAUUUUUGCCGAACCCCUGGUUGGAUAAUGAGCCACUCAAAGUGA
rnacentral:rRNA from 1 species